UCUCCGUUGGUGAACCAGCGGAGGGAUCAUUACCGAGUUUACAACUCCCAAACCCAAUGUGAACGUUACCAAACUGUUGCCUCGGCGGGGUCACGCCCCGGGUGCGUCGCAGCCCCGGAACCAGGCGCCCGCCGGAGGAACCAACCAAACUCUUUCUGUAGUCCCCUCGCGGACGUUAUUUCUUACAGCUCUGAGCAAAAAUUCAAAAUGAAUCAAAACUUUCAACAACGGAUCUCUUGGCUCUG
rnacentral:misc_RNA from 1 species